UGACCCAGUUAACAACAAUGUUCUCACCAGUCUCAAGUUCCAUUAGAGCCAUUCUCCAAGACUCAAACUUUAUACAUAUUAUAUAUUAUUCAUGGGAACCUUGUGUCAUUAAGUUUAUGUAAUGUUCUAUAAACAUGCAGUUUAAUUUCAUGGGAACCUUUUAAACGCUUGUGUUGCGUAAUAUUUAGAUUUUACCUACCCGUCUUUUAUUUCUCCCCGCAAGACUUUGUAUGAUCCCACAGUUGAGUUUACCCAAG
rnacentral:lncRNA from 1 species